CGGUUAUAAGAUCCCUCAAAGAUGAUGAGGUUAAUAGGUUCGAGGUGGAAGCAUGGUGACAUGUGGAGCUGACGAAUACUAAUCGAUCGAAGACUUAAUCAAUU
rnacentral:rRNA from 1 species